UGUCCUCCUAAUCAAACAACCAGUCAGAGUAGUCUCUGUGGAAUCAUGCCUAGUUUGUUGUUGAACAUAGUGGAUUGGCUGACUUUCUUCCUCUCUCUAAUGUCUUCGAACCCAAAUCCGAUUCCCAAAUUAAGAAAAAGAUAGAUUGAUAUCAGAUGUGCAGGUUUAUGAAAAUAUUUACGAGAUCUAGGUUUUGCAUAAUCAUUGUGAGUAGAAAUGGGAGGUGGAGGCAUGGAUAAUUGGUUUCAGUAAGCAGAUCUAUGCUGAUUGGGAUAUGGCAUGGAUGAUUUCUAAUCAAGCAAAUCUAUCCAUUGAAAUAAUGCUUUACACCGAAGACUGGUUACGGCAUCGGUGGAGAUUUUGACCUAGAAGAUCUUCCAACAACCUCUUAUAACAAUUUGGAUUUUGAAUUGGAUUCUACUGAACCAGAAGAUAUGCCAGGACUAUGUUUGUUGAUGAAUCGGAUCUGGGAAUAAAAGAAAUAAUCAGAAGUAUUA
rnacentral:lncRNA from 1 species